rnacentral:rRNA from 1 species
AAAGAAAGAGGGAGGCAUGCCUAACACAUGCAAGUCGAACGAGACCUUCGGGUCUAGUGGCGCACGGGUGCGUAACGCGUGGGAACCUGCCCUUAGGUUCGGAAUAACUCCCCGAAAGGGGUGCUAAUACCGGAUAAUGUCUUCGGACCAAAGAUUUAUCGCCUUUGGAUGGGCCCGCGUUGGAUUAGCUAGUUGGUAGGGUAAAAGCCUACCAAGGCGACGAUCCAUAGCUGGUCUGAGAGGAUGAUCAGCCACACUGGGACUGAGACACGGCCCAGACUCCUACGGGAGGCAGCAGUGGGGAAUAUUGGACAAUGGGCGAAAGCCUGAUCCAGCAAUGCCGCGUGAGUGAUGAAGGCCUUAGGGUUGUAAAGCUCUUUUACCCGGGAUGAUAAUGACAGUACCGGGAGAAUAAGCGCCGGCUAACUCCGUG